AAGUCGUAACAAGGUUUCCGUAGGUGAACCUGCGGAAGGAUCAUUAACGAAAAACAAACCCUCGCGGCUGAGCUGUGCGGUCUUCGCACGCCUGUCCCCUGGGCUCAAUUUUCUCAACCUCACACCUGUGCACCUUCGGGCGUCCCGCCGCGGUCGCCCGCAAUUUUCACAUACAACAGUCGUCGAAUGUUAUCCACACAUGAUAAAUAGUAACAACUUUCAGCAACGGAUCUCUUGGCUCCCA
rnacentral:misc_RNA from 1 species